rnacentral:rRNA from 1 species
CGGUAGUUUGAUCCUGGCUCAGGACGAACGCUGGCGGCAUGCCUAACACAUGCAAGUCGAACGGAGAUAAGCGCUGAUGAAGCUUCGGCAGAUUCUUGCUUAUCUUAGUGGCGGACGGGCGAGUAACGCGUGAGCAACCUGCCUUUCAGAGGGGGACAACAGUUGGAAACGACUGCUAAUACCGCAUAACACAUCGAGGGGGCAUCCCCAUGAUGUCAAAGAUUUAUCGCUGAAAGAUGGGCUCGCGUCUGAUUAGAUAGUUGGUGGGGUAACGGGCUCACCAAGUCGACGAUCAGUAGCCGGACUGAGAGGUUGAACGGCCACAUUGGGACUGAGAUACGGCCCAGACUCCUACGGGAGGCAGCAGUGGGGAAUAUUGGGCAAUGGGGGAAACCCUGACCCAGCAACGCCGCGUGAAGGAAGAAGGCCUUCGGGUUGUAAACUUCUUUUAGCAGGGACGAAGAACGUGACGGUACCUGCAGAAAAAGCAACGGCUAACUACGUG